GCAGUUUAGGACAAUCAUAGUUUGUCCUCUUGUGUGUGUAUGUAUUAUUUCUAUAUGUUGCACUGUGUAAUAUGACAUCUAUGGUUUGAUUUUGAUCAAUGCUAUUUGCUGUAGGAGUAGCAUGUGUUAUUAGUUGCAUUUUGCCUAAUUUUUGUCACUCUUCCGCUAGGAAGUGUUACAAGCCAUCUUUUGGUGGUCUAUAUGUUGCGUUGAGAGAAUGAGAGAGGGAAAAGAUGCUAUUAUACUGUUUUUGUUCUUUUUGUUAGCUUUCUAAUGUCCUAAUUUGCGAAUCAUUUGCAUUUG
rnacentral:misc_RNA from 1 species